CNUGCAUAUUAUANGCGGAACAAANGGNNCCGUGNCUAUCAAUAAGCUUUAACAUCCCGUCGCNGAGUUGUAAUUUGAAGGAGGUAGGCUACGCGCGGCAACGGCCCAAGUCCAUUGGAACAUGGCGCCAGGGAGGGUGAGAGCCCCGUCCGGCCACGCGCCGCGUCCGCAGUCUGCCCCCGACGAGUCGAGUUGUUUGGGAAUGCAGCUCAAAGUGGGUGGUAAAUUCCAUCUAAAGCUAAAUAUUGGCGAGAGACCGAUAGCGAACAAGUACAGUGAUGGAAAGAUGAAAAGCACUUUGAAAAGAGAGUGAAACAGUACGUGAAAUUGUUGAAAGGGAAGGGCUUGCAAGCAGACACGGCUUUUGCCGGGCCAGCAUCGGUUUGGGGAGGCGGACAACCGCGGGAGCAUGUGGCGCACCUCGGUGCGUGUUAUAGCUCCCGUCCAUACGCCUUCCCCAGUCCGAGGCCUGCGUUCUAAACUAGGAUGCUGGCGUAAUGGUUGCAAGCC
rnacentral:rRNA from 1 species